rnacentral:lncRNA from 1 species
CUUUUAAAAAAUGUGCUUUUUUAAAAAAAAUUUUCCAUGUAUUAGAUAUUUUACUGUAACAAUAAAUAGUUUAUGUAAAAAAUGCUUUUCAUGGGAAGAGCUCCAUGGAGGCAUUUACUAAAGUAAUACGUGUACUGCUGCCUACCUGGGCAGCCUAAAGGCAUGCAUUCUGUUUCUUGCCAUACUCUCAUACAGUAGAAAAGAGCAAGGUACAUGUGGCUCAGGGCAGCUCCAAAAGGAGAUCUGAAGACUUCAAGGAGGAGUAUUUGAAGACUCAUCAAAGGGAACCAUCAAGAGAACAGUGAACUGAUAAGACAAGGCAUUCCAUUCAUAGCUUUUCUCAUCACUAACUUAUCUAUGCCUUGGCCC